rnacentral:rRNA from 1 species
ACGAGUGGCGAACGGGUGAGUAACACGUGGGUAACCUGCCCUUCACUGGGGGACAACCGAGGGAAACUUCGGCUAAUACCGCAUAAUGUGCACUGUCUCAAGAUGGUGUACCAAAACUCCGGUGGUGAAGGAUGGGCCCGCGGCAGAUUAGCUAGUUGGUGGGGUAAAGGCCUACCAAGGCAACGAUCUGUAGCUGGUCUGAGAGGACGAUCAGCCACACUGGAACUGAGACACGGUCCAGACUCC